AUGCACACAAACAAUAGAUACUUUACAUACAUACAAUACAUACAAACAAUGAUGAGCUGGCUUGGCAAGUGAGAGUGUUUUCAUGGGUGCUGUGCUUUCUUAUUUUCUUACUUGCGUUCUUUUUCUUUUUUCUUUUUUCUUU
rnacentral:ribozyme from 1 species